GUGGCGAACGGGUGAGUAACACGUGAGUAACCUGCCCCCGAUUUCGGGAUAAGCCCGGGAAACUGGGUCUAAUACCGGAUAUGACCACCGGCCGCAUGGUUGGUGGUGGAAAGUUUUUCGAUCGGGGAUGGGCUCGCGGCCUAUCAGCUUGUUGGUGGGGUAAUGGCCUACCAAGGCGACGACGGGUAGCCGGCCUGAGAGGGCGACCGGCCACACUGGGACUGAGACACGGCCCAGACUCCUACGGGAGGCAGCAGUGGGGAAUAUUGCACAAUGGGGGAAACCCUGAUGCAGCGACGCAGCGUGCGGGAUGACGGCCUUCGGGUUGUAAACCGCUUUCAGCAGGGAAGAAGCGAGAGUGACGGUACCUGCAGAAGAAGUACCGGCUAACUACGUGCCAGCAGCCGCGGUAAUACGUAGGGUACGAGCGUUGUCCGGAAUUAUUGGGCGUAAAGAGCUCGUAGGUGGUUGGUCACGUCUGCUGUGGAAACGCAACGCUUAACGUUGCGCGGGCAGUGGGUACGGGCUGACUAGAGUGCAGUAGGGGAGUCUGGAAUUCCUGGUGUAGCGGUGAAAUGCGCAGAUAUCAGGAGGAACACCGGUGGCGAAGGCGGGACUCUGGGCUGUAACUGACACUGAGGAGCGAAAGCAUGGGGAGCGAACAGGAUUAGAUACCCUGGUAGUCCAUGCCGUAAACGUUGGGCACUAGGUGUGGGGGGCAUUCCACGUUCUCCGCGCCGUAGCUAACGCA
rnacentral:rRNA from 1 species